AGAGUUUGAUCAUGGCUCAGGAUGAACGCUAGCGGCAGGCUUAACACAUGCAAGUCGAGGGGCAGCAUACCCAGCAAUGGGUGAUGGCGACCGGCGGAAGGGUGCGUAACGCGUGAGCAACAUACCCUAUACAGGGGGAUAAGCCAGGGAAACUUGGUCUAAUAUCCCAUAGGAAAUAGAUAAGGCAUCUUGUUUAUUUUAAAGCUUCGGUGGUAUAGGAUUGGCUCGCGUGACAUUAGCUAGAUGGAGGGGUAACGGCCCACCAUGGCAAUGAUGUCUAGGGGUUCUGAGAGGAAGAUCCCCCACACUGGGACUGAGACACGGCCCAGACUCCUACGGGAGGCAGCAGUGAGGAAUAUUGGACAAUGGAUGGAAAUCUGAUCCAGCCAUGCCGCGUGCAGGAAGACGGCCCUAUGGGUUGUAAACUGCUUUUAUACGGGAGCAAUAAGGUCUAUGCAUAGAUUGAUGAGAGUACCGUAUGAAUAAGCAUCGGCUAACUCCGUGCCAGCAGCCGCGGUAAUACGGAGGAUGCGAGCGUUAUCCGGAUUUAUUGGGUUUAAAGGGUGCGUAGGCGGCUUUGUAAGUCAGCGGUGAAAUUUUGCAGCUUAACUGUAAAAGUGCCGUUGAUACUGUGAAGCUAGGAUUUGGUUGCUGUGGGCGGAAUGUGUGGUGUAGCGGUGAAAUGCAUAGAGAUCACACAGAAUAUCGAUUGCGAAGGCAGCUCACAAAGCCAAUAUUGACGCUGAGGCACGAAAGUGUGGGGAUCAAACAGGAUUAGAUACCCUGGUAGUCCACACUGUAAACGAUGAUAACUCGCUGUCGGCGAUAGACCGUCGGUGGCCAAGCGAAAGCGAUAAGUUAUCCACCUGGGGAGUACGACCGCAAGGUUGAAACUCAAAUGAAUUGACGG
rnacentral:rRNA from 1 species